rnacentral:rRNA from 1 species
AUUGAACGCUGGCGGCAUGCCUACACAUGCAAGUCGAACGGCAGCACGGGAGCAAUCCUGGUGGCGAGUGGCGAACGGGUGAGUAAUAUAUCGGAACGUGCCCAGUCGUGGGGGAUAACGCAGCGAAAGCUGUGCUAAUACCGCAUACGAUCUAAGGAUGAAAGCGGGGGAUCGCAAGACCUCGCGCGAUUGGAGCGGCAGAUAUCAGAUUAGCUAGUUGGUGGGGUAAAGGCCCACCAAGGCGACGAUCUGUAGCUGGUCUGAGAGGACGACCAGCCACACUGGAACUGAGACACGGUCCAGACUCCUACGGGAGGCAGCAGUGGGGAAUUUUGGACAAUGGGCGCAAGCCUGAUCCAGCAAUGCCGCGUGCAGGAUGAAGGCCUUCGGGUUGUAAACUGCUUUUGUACGGAACGAAACGGCCCUUUCUAAUACAGGGGGCUAAUGACGGUACCGUAAGAAUAAGCACCGGCUAACUACGUGCCAGCAGCCGCCGUAAUAC